GACGAACGCUGGCGGCGUGCUUAACACAUGCAAGUCGAACGAAAAUACCAAGCUUGCUUGGUUUAUUCGUGGCGAACGGGUGUGUAACACGUGAGUAUCCUGCCCCUUACUUUCCUGGAUAACUUCUCGAAAGGGUAGCUAAUACGGGAUAUUCUGACCAGCCUGCAUGGGUUGGUUUGGAAAGGUUGUUUUUCUGGUAAGGGCUGGGCUCGCGGCAUAUCAGCUUGUUGGUGGGGUGAUGGCCUACCAAGGCUUUGACGGGUAGCCGGCCUGAGAGUGUGGACGGUCACACGGGGACUGAGAUACGGCCCAGAGACCUACGGGAGGCAGCAGUGGGGAAGAUUGCAGAAUGGGCGAAAGCCUGAUGCAGCGACGCCGCGUGAGGGAUGAAGGCGUUCGGGUUGUAAACCUCUGUCGUCAGGGAACAAGGCACUGCUGUUUUGGUGGUGUUGAGGGUACCUGGAUAAGAAGCGCCGGCUAACUACGUG
rnacentral:rRNA from 1 species